rfam:Schistosoma curassoni strain Dakar, Senegal genome assembly, scaffold: SCTD_contig0001468
AUCCAGCUAACGAGUCCCAAAUGGGACGAAACGCGCGUCCUGGAU